rnacentral:rRNA from 1 species
GGCCUUUAGCCGGGGUAGGUGAGAGUAGCCGCGUUAUUUGGGUGGGGUCCUUUCUUUAGAGUUUCGACGGCCUCGAGCGUCAAGAGUGGAGACUUAGACGCGCAGCAGCAGCAGAAGUGUCGUGUCGAGCUUCGCCUCAACCCCGAGCGCCCCUUCGUUCCUACGGCUUCCGGCGCCCCCUGCGGUUCGAGGACCAGGUCAGGGAGUGGUUCCGGAUGCGGCGGUGCGGGUGCUUAGAGUUCUAGUAACUGGACAUGCACCAAAAGCGGCACCGGUGACGGGACCAAGUCCAGCAAAUGUACCCUUAUCAACCCAGUAAGGGGAAGUUGAGAAAGGACAGACCACAGGACAGCACGUAGCCUUGACGUCACGAACCACAAACGGAGGCAUAAGUUCAGUUGUUCCUGUUGUUCCUUAAGUUCCUAGAAGGGGGCCUUUCCCGGAAACGACUAAAGCAGGACACGUUAGACCACGAGGUGGACCACUAGUACUUGAAGGAGCCUACUCGUUAACAGUAUGUUCGACAGCUCUAAAACAUCACAGGAAUACUGACUCUGACAGUCGUACAAUCUAUAAGUACACCGUAGUAUGUGUGGAUACAUUAGGCUCUCAAAGAGAUACUUGAUAUUCUUAAGUCACCUAAAUCGCAAUUGAAACACCUUGUACCCUUGAAUAACCUCCCUCACUUCUGUCCCUUUUCACUAGUGAAUUUAUAAUCAUAACAAGCGAGUACUACCACACGACUUUUUUUUUCGCUGGACGAAUUUUACGUCAAG